rnacentral:lncRNA from 1 species
GGAAAUGGAUUAUGGAGGGGGAAAAGAAGAAGGGAGAAAGGCAAAUCAUCAGCUUAUUAUCACAUGGUAGAUUAGUCUUUGAAACAUGUUUAGGGCAGAGUACAUUACCUUUAUCAUGUUUUGCACAUCAACAAAUGUGACCUUUGGAAAAUAGCCCUCCAACUUUGCUUUGGUCAAACUAGUGCACUACUACAAGACGGUAUAGCACGCUUCCUUUUUCCCCAUGAAAAUGAAGUUUUUAAUGAUCCGAUAGCAACUAGCAAACCAAAUGAUUGCAAAGAUGUUUGCAUAUGAUAAUGAUACUUAUGAGCACUCUAAUGAUGAAGAUAUAGAGGAACAUUUGGCCCGUCAACGUAUUUCAAAUUAAUACGUCAAAUCGCACUCAAGACCUCUCACCAACUCCUCCACCACUUUCCAAAGGCAAAUCAACUUAUUAUCACAUGGUAGUGUCUUUGAAACAUGUUUAGGGCACAACACAUUACGUUUAUCAUCUUUUGCACAACAACAAAUGUGACCUUUGGAAGAUAGCCCUCCUCUAAAAUUGUGAUGCAUUGUAAUGAUAUGACAUGUAUGUCUCACUUGUAUCAUAGCUGUUAAAGUACCACGUCAAAUCACACUCAAGAUCUCCGACCAACUCCUCCACCA